GUGGGGAAUUUUGGACAAUGGGGGCAACCCUGAUCCAGCCAUGCCGCGUGAGUGAAGAAGGCCUUCGGGUUGUAAAGCUCUUUCGGCUGGGAAGAAAUCGCAUCUCCUAAUACGGGGUGUGGAUGACGGUACCAGCAUAAGAAGCACCGGCUAACUACGUGCCAGCAGCCGCGGUAAUACGUAGGGUGCGAGCGUUAAUCGGAAUUACUGGGCGUAAAGCGUGCGCAGGCGGUUUCGUAAGACAGAGGUGAAAUCCCCGGGCUCAACCUGGGAACUGCCUUUGUGACUGCGAGGCUAGAGUAUGGCAGAGGGGGGUGGAAUUCCACGUGUAGCAGUGAAAUGCGUAGAGAUGUGGAGGAACACCGAUGGCGAAGGCAGCCCCCUGGGCCAAUACUGACGCUCAUGCACGAAAGCGUGGGGAGCAAACAGGAUUAGAUACCCGAGUAGUCC
rnacentral:rRNA from 1 species